rnacentral:rRNA from 1 species
UUCGCCCUUAGGGUUUGAUUAUGGCUCAGGACGAACGCUGGCGGCGUGCUUAACACAUGCAAGUCGAACGAUGACGACCGUGCUUGCACGGUCUGAUUAGUGGCGAACGGGUGAGUAACACGUGAGUAACCUGCCCCCCACUUCGGGAUAACCUCGGGAAAUCGUGGCUAAUACCGGAUAUGAGUGCCUGCCGCAUGGUGGGUGCUGGAAAGUUUUUCGGUGGGGGAUGGGCUCGCGGCCUAUCAGUUUGUUGGUGAGGUGAUGGCUCACCAAGACGAUGACGGGUAGCCGGCCUGAGAGGGCGACCGGCCACACUGGGACUGAGACACGGCCCAGACUCCUACGGGAGGCAGCAGUGGGGAAUAUUGCACAAUGGGCGAAAGCCUGAUGCAGCGACGCCGCGUGAGGGAUGACGGCCUUCGGGUUGUAAACCUCUUUCAGUAGGGAAGAAGCGAAAGUGACGGUACCUGCAGAAGAAGCGCCGGCUAACUACGUGCCAGCAGCCGCGGUAAUACGUAGGGUACGAGCGUUGUCCGGAAUUAUUGGGCGUAAAGAGCUCGUAGGUGGUUGGUCACGUCUGCUGUGGAAACGCAACGCUUAACGUUACGCGUGCAGUGGGUACGGGCUGACUAGAGUGCAGUAGGGGAGUCUGGAAUUCCUGGUGUAGCGGUGAAAUGCGCAGAUAUCAGGAGGAACACCGGUGGCGAAGGCGGGACUCUGGGCUGUAACUGACACUGAGGAGCGAAAGCAUGGGGAGCGAACAGGAUUAGAUACCCUGGUAGUCCAUGCCGUANACGUUGGGCACUAGGUGUGGGGGACAUUCCACGUUCUCCGCGCCGUAGCUAACGCAUUAAGUGCCCCGCCUGGGGAGUACGGUCGCAAGGCUAANNACUCAAGGAAUUGACGGGGGCCCGCACAAGCGGCGGAGCAUGCGGAUUAUUCGAUGCACGCGAAGAAC